rnacentral:rRNA from 1 species
AUUGAACGCUGGCGGCAGGCUUAACACAUGCAAGUCGAGCGGAGUGAUGGUGCUUGCACUAUCACUUAGCGGCGGACGGGUGAGUAAUGCUUAGGAAUCUGCCUAUUAGUGGGGGACAACAUCUCGAAAGGGAUGCUAAUACCGCAUACGUCCUACGGGAGAAAGCAGGGGAUCACUUGUGACCUUGCGCUAAUAGAUGAGCCUAAGUCGGAUUAGCUAGUUGGUGGGGUAAAGGCCUACCAAGGCGACGAUCUGUAGCGGGUCUGAGAGGAUGAUCCGCCACACUGGGACUGAGAGACGGCCCAGACUCCGACGGGAGGCAGCAGUGGGGAAUAUUGGACAAUGGGGGGAACCCUGAUCCAGCCAUGCCGCGUGUGUGAAGAAGGCCUUAUGGUUGUAAAGCACUUUAAGCGAGGAGGAGGCUCUUUUGGUUAAUACCCAAGAUGAGUGGACGUUACUCGCAGAAUAAGCACCGGCUAACUCUGUGCCAGCCGCCGCCGUAA